UCCGGUGGUUAUAACGGCGAGGCCACACCUGUUCCCAUCCCGAACACAGAAGUUAAGCUCGUCGGUGUCCAAGAUACUUGGCUGGAGACGGCCCGGGAAAAUAGAACGCUGCCGGAU
rnacentral:rRNA from 1 species